AUUGAACGCUGGCGGCAGGCCUAACACAUGCAAGUCGAGCGGAUGAAGGGAGCUUGCUCCUGGAUUCAGCGGCGGACGGGUGAGUAAUGCCUAGGAAUCUGCCUGGUAGUGGGGGAUAACGUCCGGAAACGGGCGCUAAUACCGCAUACGUCCUGAGGGAGAAAGUGGGGGAUCUUCGGACCUCACGCUAUCAGAUGAGCCUAGGUCGGAUUAGCUAGUUGGUGGGGUAAAGGCCUACCAAGGCGACGAUCCGUAACUGGUCUGAGAGGAUGAUCAGUCACACUGGAACUGAGACAGGGUACAGACUCCUACGGGAGGCAGCAGUGGGGAAUAUUGGACAAUGGGCGAAAGCCUGAUCCAGCCAUGCCGCGUGCGUGAAGAAGGUCUUCGGAUUGUAAAGCACUUUAAGUUGGGAGGAAGGGCAGUAAGUUAAUACCUUGCUGUUUUGACGUUACCAACAGAAUAAGCACCGGCUAACUUCGUG
rnacentral:rRNA from 1 species